CCUACGGGAGGCAGCAGUAGGGAAUAUUGGGCAAUGGAGGCAACUCUGACCCAGCCAUGCCGCGUGCAGGAAGAAGGCGUUAUGCGUUGUAAACUGCUUUUAUAUAGGAAGAAAUAGACCUUGCGAGGUAAGUUGACGGUACUAUAUGAAUAAGCACCGGCUAACUCCGUGCCAGCAGCCGCGGUAAUACGGAGGGUGCAAGCGUUGUCCGGAUUUAUUGGGUUUAAAGGGUGCGUAGGCGGUUUAUUAAGUCAGUGGUGAAAGACGGUCGCUCAACGAUUGCAGUGCCAUUGAUACUGGUAGACUUGAGUGGGAUUGAGGUAGCUGGAAUGGAUAGUGUAGCGGUGAAAUGCAUAGAUAUUAUCCAGAACACCAAUUGCGUAGGCAAGUUACUAAGUCUCAACUGACGCUGAGGCACGAAAGUGUGGGUAUCAAACAGGAUUAGAUACCCUGGUAGUCCACACUGUAAACGAUGAUAACUAACUGUUGGCUUUCGAGUCAGUGGUACAGAGAAAUCGUUAAGUUAUCCACCUGGGGAGUACGCGGCAACGGUGAAACUCAAAGAGUAUAGCGNGNGAGAGACGACGACGACGACGACGGAGGGAGGAGG
rnacentral:rRNA from 1 species